rnacentral:tRNA from 1 species
UCUUAGAAUGAGGUGUUAGUGGUAGCACGGAGAAUUUUGGAUUCUUAGGCAUAGGUUCAAGUCCUAUCGUUCUAG